rnacentral:lncRNA from 1 species
UUUUUAGGCCAACAUGACAUUAAUAUAAUUUUAUUAAUCCAUACCAAAUAGACAAAACACAUCAUUGUAAUAAAUCGAAGAAAAAUUUUCAUUUACAUAUUGCCCAUCAAAUAAAUAUCAUCUUACACUCCUCUUAAAUAAUAGAAAAUUAUUGUAUAAAAGAAGAUAAUUUACAACUUGCUGUCUUCAAACUAUUGGGUUGGCUAACUCUCAAAAAUCCUUCCCAUUACUUUCUUCGUAGCCUGCAUCUUUCUUGUAGGAAAGAGCCUCCCAUCUUGAAGAUACUUGGUGCUUCGACAAAAUAGCAUUUGGAGUCUGUAUUUCUUCAAUCCAUUGUGAAAGAGGUAUCACCUGAAAUGUUUAGGAGAAGUUCAUUUAUAUCAUAACACUGUAAUCAACAACCAGAAAAUUACACUACAGUCCAAGCUACCAUAAGAGCAUGAAUAGACAAAAAAAAUCUCAGAAUUGCCAUCUCUGGAAUUUAUGUUAAAUGCUUUCUGACCUAGAUGGAACUUCGGUAAAUUUAACCAAGAGAUUAUGUGUGUGGUGUCAAUAAAUAUAUGCUAGAAUCAAGUAGGAAAAAUAGGGACUAAACUGCCCACUUUCAAUUUAUCAAACGUGAUCAUAUAUCACAUCUCAACAGUGCAUUCUUUAGAGUUCAAUUAUUGGAGAUACUUUGUCUAUGUAGAUAGAGUACACUAUUGACAAAAGUCGUUGCCAUCAUUUUAAUUCAUGUACGUAGGAAAUGCACGAAAUCAUAUUGACAACAACUAGGAGAGGUUCCCUAUUGCAACUACUACUCCUUUUUAAGGGCCUUAUUAAUAAAUCUAGAUAGACAAUUUAACCCAUAGAUAGAGGUUCCUUCUUUGUUUUUGCUUGAACCAACACUUUCCGAACAACGAAGUCUAUUUUUCUGUUUGAUAACGUAACGAGCCAUUUUUAUCCCUUGACCAAGAAGACAUGACUUUUGGUACAUGAAUAUCUUUCUAUAUAAUUACCACAAAAGACCCGUACUUAAUGUCAAGGUUCCAAUUAUAGAACAAACACCAAUAUAAACCAUUAUAUUUGAUAGUACAAAACUAAUACCAAUGUUUCUACCACUGCUAAGGCUGUAUACAAAAGAAAAGCUGAACCAAGAAAAGAGAAAAAUAUCAAGAAACGGUAUCACAUUCUCCGGGUGUCAUAACACAUCUAUUAAGUAUAGAUGUUCACCUGGUGCAUUUAGCACAAUUAUGAUAGAACCCACUAUUUAUCAAAUGCAUAUGAAUAUUCCUAAUUCUGCAAUUUCUCUUUCAAUAAGAAAUGAGCUAAAGCAGAACCCUUACUUAUGAUUGGUUAUAGAGCAUAAGAUGCAGAUCUGAAAGGUAACCUUUUUCUUGUUUUAACUUUGGCUCUUUUACUGGAUGAAGAGAAAAGGGAAUGAAAAGAGACUACAAUGUAUAAUUAAGGAAUCUGAAAAACGCAAGACUUACUCGUUACUAUGCCAAUCCUCCCGGGCCUUCAAUUCAUUUGAUGAGUACAAUUAGAUAAGAUAAUGAAAAUUGAUCAUCAAUAAGUCAAACAGCAACAAUUAAGUUCAACAAAACCUAUUCCGUUUCAACAAGAAAAUCUUAUAUUAUUUGUAAUUCAGUGCUGUAAUGUGAUUCCUCAUCAAAAACUACGAGGGGAAUGCACGAAAUCUAUAGAAUUCAUGUAAAAUUGGGAUAAAUCUAUUCAUAUGUUCAGAAUCCAAACGCAAUUGAUUUCGCCAGCUUUACAUGAAUUAAUUAUUAUAACAAUGAAGUUUCUUUUACCACAAUCCUUUUUUGGAAUAAUUAGUGUAUAUCCACCAUAAUCCAUUCCUUCCAUCAACACUCAACACAGAACAAAAACAAUAAUUAAAAAAAAAACAAAAAGAGGGCUAAUGCCGGACAGAAAAACUGAACAGGGCCGAAAAUUAAAAGGUACUUGCCGACUCGACGACUCACCAUGAGGUUCGUGACACUAUCAGUCCGUCUCCAUCACCCCUAAGAACUGGCACCCACAACUUAACAGUUGACACUCGUAGCUCAUCGACCAUCACGACUCGCCACAGGUUCUGCUGCUUCUACACUUCUGCUCUCGCCUCUAGUCACUUUGUCUCCCGACGAUUUCAAUUUGGGAAUUCCAUUUGGUUCUGGCUCCGCGCCUGGCCAUUACUGAGAGCAUGGUAAGAAACUAAAUCAAGGCUUAAAGAAAAAGGAGAAGAAGAUGAAACAUGAGAUUAGAUGAAAUGGGACAAGAGAGAGAUGCGCAGUCGGCUCCGUCUGGUUUCUUGCCCUAAAUGAGAGAGGC